AAUGAACGUUGGCGGCGUGGAUUAGGCAUGCAAGUCGCGCGACAAGGAACCUUCGGGUUCUGGAGGAGCGGCAAACGGGGUAGUAAGGCAUCGGAACGUACCCUCUUGUUGGGAAUAGCCGCGGGAAACUGCGAGUAAUGCCCAAUAAUCCCUACGGGGCAAAGGUCCGCCGCAGGAGGAGCGGCCGAUGUGAUACCAGCUAGUUGGUGAGGUAAUGGCUCACCAAGGCUUAGACGUCUAGGGGGUGUGAGAGCAUGGCCCCCACCACUGGGACGUGAGAUACUGCCCACGACACCUACGGGUGGGCUGCAGUCGAGAAUACUUUCGGCGAAUAGGGCGGCAAGACCUCGACCGACGCAACGACCGCGUGCGGGAGUGAAGGACCC
rnacentral:rRNA from 1 species